ensembl:misc_RNA 7SK 7SK RNA
GGAUGUGAGGGCAAUCUGGCUGAGACAUAUGUCAUCCCAUUGAUCACCAGGAUUGAUUCGGCUGAUCUGGCUGGCUAGGCAGGUGUACCCUUCCUCCGUUACUGCUCCAUGUGCAUCCCUCCCGAAGCUGCACACUCCAUCGAAGAGCGCCACCUUCCAAGAAUAGAGGAGGACCAGUUUUCGGUCAAGGGUAUACGAGUAACUGCGUUCCCCUGCUAGAACCUCCAAACAAGCUCUUAAGGUCCAAAGAUGAGAUGGUUCAGGUGGAGAUAGAGUAGGUGAUCAGAGUCAGGACGAAGUUUUAGUAGAGUCAGCAGGGCCUUCUGAUUAG